GGCGGCAGGCCUAACACAUGCAAGUCGAACGCGAUCUUCGGAUCGAGUGGCGCACGGGUGAGUAACGCGUGGGAAUCUGCCCUGUGGUACGGAAUAACAUCGGGAAACUGGUGCUAAUACCGUAUAUCCCCUGAGGGGGAAAGAUUUAUCGCCAUGGGAGGAGCCCGCGUAGGAUUAGCUAGUUGGUGAGGUAACGGCUCACCAAGGCGACGAUCCUUAGCUGGUCUGAGAGGAUGAUCAGCCACACUGGGACUGAGAUACGGCCCAGACUCCUACGGGAGGCAGCAGUGGGGAAUAUUGGACAAUGGGGGAAACCCUGAUCCAGCCAUGCCGCGUGUGUGAUGAAGGCCUUCGGGUUGUAAAGCACUUUCGCACGUGACGAUGAUGACGGUGACGUGAGAAGAAGCCCCGGCUAACUUCGUGCCAGCAGCCGCGGUAAUACGAAGGGGGCAAGCGUUGUUCGGAAUUACUGGGCGUNAAGGGCGCGUAGGCGGUGCUCUAAGUCAGGCGUGAAAGCCCUGGGCUCAACCCGGGAAUUGCGCUUGAUACUGGGGCGCUUGAAUCCA
rnacentral:rRNA from 1 species